rnacentral:rRNA from 1 species
CGAACCUACGGGACGCAGCAGUAGGGAAUCUUCCACAAUGGACGAAAGUCUGAUGGAGCAACGCCGCGUGAGUGAAGAAGGGUUUCGGCUCGUAAAGCUCUGUUGGUAGUGAAGAAAGAUAGAGGUAGUAACUGGCCUUUAUUUGACGGUAAUUACUUAGAAAGUCACGGCUAACUACGUGCCAGCAGCCGCGGUAAUACGUAGGUGGCAAGCGUUGUCCGGAUUUAUUGGGUGUAAAGCGAGGGCAGACGGUUAAAUAAGUCUGAUGUGAAGGCCUUCGGCUCAACCGGAGAAUUGCAUCAGAA